rnacentral:rRNA from 1 species
UCGGGAAUUUUGGGCAAUGGGCGCAAGCCUGAUCCAGCAAUGCCGCGUGAGUGAAGAAGGCCUUCGGGUUGUAAAGCUCUUUUGUCAGGGAAGAAACGGUAGUAGCGAAUAACUAUUACUAAUGACGGUACCUGAAGAAUAAGCACCGGCUAACUACGUGCCAGCAGCCGCGGUAAUACGUAGGGUGCAAGCGUUAAUCGGAAUUACUGGGCGUAAAGCGUGCGCAGGCGGUUGUGUAAGUCAGAUGUGAAAUCCCCGGGCUCAACCUGGGAAUUGCAUUUGAGACUGCACGGCUAGAGUGUGUCAGAGGGGGGUAGAAUUCCACGUGUAGCAGUGAAAUGCGUAGAUAUGUGGAGGAAUACCGAUGGCGAAGGCAGCCCCCUGGGAUAACACUGACGCUCAUGCACGAAAGCGUGGGGAGCAAACAGGAUUAGAUACCCGAGUAGUCCCUGAGCGGGCUGGCAAGGCGCAU